ACACCAGCCAUCGAGCCAUCCAUCCAUCCAUCCAGCCUCUCAAUGGAUACACACACUCGCUCGGUAUGGCAGUCGGUAUGGCACGUAUGCCUAAGAUACAAAUGUACCUACAUAUCUACAAAAUAUAUCUUUGUAAGCGUAUAUAGACGGAAAUGCUCCGUGGCUCUGUGCCAGCUCCAGUUCCAGUGUGUGUUUGCAGACAAAGGCCAACAAGUUGCCAUGGGAGUUGCCACCAAAAAAAAAGAAAUCUUUCGUUUGCACUCGAGCAACAAGGAGCUCAACAAGGAAUAGCCAUAAAAAUCAACAAGAGUAACGAGAAAAAAUGUGUAGAUUGGUGAUAAAUGAAUCAGAAUCUAAGGAACACCCCUCAAGGACCAGAUAAGGACUGGCCAAGAUAUAGCCCUCGCAAGGAGCCGUACUUCCGUUCGAGGUGAUUAGUUGGUAAGAAUGACGUCGAAGGUCUAUUAAGUGAUUGUGGAUGUCGAGAGCCGGAGCCUAGGGGUCUGGGCCCCGGUUAGAGAGACGGUUAACCCGAUACAGAUACGGAUACACAGAUACGGCUGCUGCUGCGUUACAGAUGCAGAUACAGAUACGGAUGUAUAGAUUGUAUAUGUAUAUGUAUAUGUAUAUGUAUAUGUAUAUGUAUAUGUAUAUGUAUAUGUAUAUGUAUAUAUGAUGACAAUGCCCUCCUGGAACGUUUGCCGCCACCGCUUGUCACUCAAAAUGGGAAAAACCUGGCAAAACCGGGAAAGGGAAGGGAAGUGAAGAGAAAAAUGGGAAAAUAGGGAGGGAAAAACAAGGGAUACAGCCACCAAAACCUCAUCAUAAUCAUCAUCAUCAUCAUCAUCCUCGUCACGUCACCGGAAAAACAAUGAAGUAAAAAUCAAGAAAAAGUCAUUGGGAAAAAAAAAAGAAAAUGUUCUUGUUUUUUUCUUUUUAAAUCUGAGUAGCACCUGGACCUUAAACCUCAACUAAAAUAAUAAUAUAAUA